UACAGAGGGGGCAAGCGUUGUUCGGAAUUACUGGGCGUAAAGGGCGCGUAGGCGGCCCGCUAAGUCGAACGUGAAAUCCCCGAGCUCAACUCGGGAACUGCGUCCGAUACUGGCGGGCUUGAAUCCGGGAGAGGGAUGCGGAAUUCCAGGUGUAGCGGUGAAAUGCGUAGAUAUCAGGAGGAACACCGGUGGCGAAGGCGGGUCUCUGGGCCGAUACUGACGCUGAGGAGCGAAAGCGUGGGGAGCGAACAGG
rnacentral:rRNA from 1 species